rnacentral:rRNA from 1 species
GUAGGUGGCAAGCGUUGUCCGGAAUUAUUGGGCGUAAAGCGCGCGCAGGCGGUUCUUUGAGUCUGAUGUGAAAGCCCACGGCUCAACCGUGGAGGGUCAUUGGAAACUGGAGAACUUGAGUACAGAAGAGGAAAGCGGAAUUCCACGUGUAGCGGUGAAAUGCGUAGAGAUGUGGAGGAACACCAGUGGCGAAGGCGGCUUUCUGGUCUGUAACUGACGCUGAGGCGCGAAAGCGUGGGGGGGAGCAAACAGGAUUAGAUACCCUGGUAGUCCACGCCGUAAACCGAUGAGUGCUAAGUGUUAGGGGGUUUCCGCCCCCCCCUUAGUGCUGCAGCUAACGCAUUAAGCACUCCGCCUGGGAGUACGGCCGCAGGCUG